AGACUUGGCACCUCUAUGUGAUGAAAUCCAUAUACUGGCUGCGGUUGCAGGGCUGAGCAAAACACAGAACAGAUGAAGAGAUACAGAUUUUUUUACCUAUGGAAAACUUAUGGAACUUUACAAAUCAUAUACAGCAGAACCAUGUUACAAGAUUUGGUGGUGGACAGCAAGAAAUAAUGCAGGAGAUAACAGCAACAUGGUAAUACGAAAAACCCACAAACUACCA
rnacentral:lncRNA from 14 species